rnacentral:tRNA from 1 species
ACUUAAAUAGCUUAUUUGAGCAUAAUAUUGAAGAUAUUAGGGUAGUAUUUUAAUACUUUUAG